rnacentral:rRNA from 1 species
UGGGGAAUUUUGCACAAUGGAGGAAACUCUGAUGCAGCGACGCCGCGUGAGUGAUGAAGAUCUUCGGAUUGUAAAACUCUGUCCUUAGUGAAGAUAAUGACAGUAACUAAGAAGCAAGCCCUGGCUAAAUACGUGCCAGCAGCCACGGUAAUACGUAUGGGGCAAGCGUUGUCCGGAAUUAUUGGGCGUAAAGGGUACGUAGGCGGUUUAAUAAGUCCUAAUUAAAAGGCUAUGGCUCAACCAUAGUAUGGUUAGGAAACUGUUGAACUUGAGUAGAUGAGGGGAAAGUGGAAUUCCAUGUGUAGCGGUGAAAUGCGUAGAUAUAUGGAGGAACACCAAUGGCGAAGGCAACUUUCUGGAAUCAAACUGACGCUGAGGUACGAAGGCGUGGGGAGCAAACAGG